UGGGGAAUAUUGCGCAAUGGGGGAAACCCUGACGCAGCGACGCCGCGUGGGUGAUGAAGGCCUUCGGGUCGUAAAGCCCUGUCGGAGGGGAAGAAGGACUCUCGUGCAAAUAGUUCGAGGGUUUGACGGUACCCUUAGAGGAAGCACCGGCUAACUCCGUGCCAGCAGCCGCGGUAAUACGGAGGGUGCAAGCGUUGCUCGGAAUUACUGGGCGUAAAGGGCGUGUAGGCGGUUUCGUAUGUCUGGCGUGAAAGCCCCGGGCUCACCUCGGGAAGUGCGUCGGAAACUGCGAGACUAGAGUCCCGGAGAGGGAGGUGGAAUUCCAGGUGUAGCGGUGAAAUGCGUAGAUAUCUGGAAGAACACCGGUGGCGAAAGCGGCCUCCUGGACGGUGACUGACGCUGAGACGCGAAAGCGUGGGGAGCAAACA
rnacentral:rRNA from 1 species